rnacentral:rRNA from 1 species
CACGUAGGCGGAUUGGCAAGUCAGAUGUGAAAGCCCGGAGCUUAACUCCGGAACUGCAUUUGAUACUGCUAGUCUUGAGUGUGGUAGAGGGGGGUGGAAUUCCCGGUGUAGAGGUGAAAUUCGUAGAUAUCGGGAGGAACACCAGAGGCGAAGGCGACCCCCUGGGCCAUAACUGACGCUGAGGUGCGAAAGCGUGGGGAGCAAACAG